GAUGAACGCUGGCGGCGUGCCUCAAACAUGCAAGUCGAGCGGGGCUACGUAAUAUCGCAAGGUAGAACAUAGCCUAGCGGCGAACGGGUGAGUAACACGUGGGUAACCUGCCUGGAAGACAGGGAUAACGAUUCGAAAGGGUCGCUAAUACCUGAUAAUAUCCUUUCAUCGCAUGGUGAUAGGAAGAAAGGGGAAACCCGCUUUCAGAUGGGCCCGCGUCCCAUCAGCUAGUUGGUAAGGUAAAGGCUUACCAAGGCGACGACGGGUAGCCGGUCUGAGAGGAUGUACGGCCACACUGGGACUGAGAUACGGCCCAGACUCCUACGGGAGGCAGCAGUUGGGAAUCUUAGGCAAUGGACGAAAGUCUGACCUAGCGACGCCGCGUGAGGGAAGAAGGCCUUCGGGUUGUAAACCUCUGUCAUGGGGGAAGAAGGAAGUGACGGUACCCAAGAGGAAGCCCCUGCUAACUACGUG
rnacentral:rRNA from 1 species